rnacentral:rRNA from 1 species
UACGUAGGGACCAAGCGUUGUUCGGAUUUACUGGGCGUAAAGGGCGCGUAGGCGGCGUGGUAAGUCACUUGUGAAAUCUCUGAGCUUAACUCAGAACGGCCAAGUGAUACUGCUGUGCUAGAGUGCAGAAGGGGCAAUCGGAAUUCUUGGUGUAGCGGUGAAAUGCGUAGAUAUCGAGAGGAACACCUGCGGCGAAGGCGGGUAGCUGGGCCGACACUGACGCUGAGGCGCGAAAGCCAGGGGAGCGAACGGG